GAGUUGAGACACACGUAUGCAUUUCGUAGAAAGAACUGGUGUGAUCUGAACAUGGGAGAGAAAGGGAGGGACCCAAGUUGAGUCGAGUGUUCCUUUCCUUUGCUGGUAGUGGACACGAUGGCCCGUAACUCUGGAAGCAGGUUGAUUUGGCAUUUUGCAAAGAAGAUUUGGUUCACCCACAAGGCCACAGCAUAUGGAUUAUUAUUAUUUAAUUUUUAAAAAUUUUAAAUUUUGAUAUUUAGUUUGUAUUAUGCUUAACAUUAUUGCUAUUAAUUAACUUUUAAAGUUUAAAAUUUGAUAUUUAGUUUAUAUCUAUAAUUAAUAUUUUUGUUUU